CUUAACGUGUCGCAGACGAAUAAGUUUGUUUUAAAUUCUUUGAUUUUUAUUUGAAAUUAAUAGUGAACUUUUAAUAAAAAAAAUACAAAGUGGUUCGGAAAGAUGAUACAGAAAUCAAAAGAUGUUUACAAUUCAAAAAUCUUAGAUGCGGAAGUUUUUGAAAUUGUUAACAGUUUCACAUUGUGCAAAAGUGUAGAGCCAUUUUUAGCGGGUAGAGGAUUGACAAAGAGAAGUUUAAUGCUCAUUAAAUCAGAGCACUUGUCAAAAAUAUUUCCCGAUAGUGAACUUGGUCUACAGUUGGAGUUUGAAUUUGAAUUAAAAAAGUGGAAAAUAAAGAAUUUUCGAAGCCAGUGAACUGAAUUUAUAUAAUAAGAUUGAUGGCUAGUCACAAGACUUGCGUGAACACCUACAUCCACUUGGAGGUCUUUUGCAACUAAUUCCUCUACAAAUUUAUUGGUUUGUUUAAAAAAAAAAUAAUAUUUCAAUAAAUAAACUUACAAUUCAAAAGUUGUAACAAAAUGGUUAAUCCGAUAAAAUAUAUUCGUUUAGUUUAUGUAAUUUAUGCUAUCAGUAUUAACAAUUUUUUUGAAAAUAAAAUUUAUAAAAACCAUUU